CAGAAAUUCUGCUGCUGAGUGUUAUUUUCUAGGCGGUCAGAUGGAACAGUGACAAUUUUAGCAGCAGAUGUGUAACUGUCAUGCUGUUUGUGGUGCUGGCAUGUCACCAUUUCUACCUGGAGGUCACCUCUUCAUGGGAUUUCACUCUCAGUCCUGUGCUGAAUCAGCAUGGCCUUUCCAUAGAGAACUUGGGAUCACAGGACUGUUGUCUCUCACAGACUGAUGACUGUCUGCAGUUAAAAAGCCACUGGAGAGAGCUGGGCCUGAGAGCUGAUGGAUGUUUUAAGAACAGCAGCCAGAGCUGGGGCUGAGGGAAGCAGCCGUGCAGCACAGUCCAAGCCAGCCAGGGGAGCCUAGAGGCAAAACUGUUUGUUUGGAGGAAAAAAUCACAGAUGUAGGAUGCCAGCUCUGUUGCAGCAGAGCCAGAGGAUGCAGAAGACCUGUAUUGCUGGCAGAGUGUCUGAUCUGAGGAACAAACAUGGUGCGGGUGGUGCAAAGACAUAAGCAGCAGCUUCAGUUCUGCAGUGGGGAUCCUGUUCAGGGGUCUGGCAAGGUAAGUCACAUCUGUCCAUCUGGUGUUUGUUCUCCCAAGUAAAGGGAUGAAGAAAAAAGAGGGAGUAUAUCAGUUAAAGGGGGUAAAUGGAGUCCUGGAUAUUUGAAUGGGCUCCCAGUUCUGGUGUAGAAGUUUCUAGGAGAAUCUGGAAUGUCUUGAGAGUUCGAAGGAACUUGAAAAUAGGACCAUAAAGUCUUUAAAGUUAAAUUUGAGAAAGUGUGUCUUUUUAGUUUGUUUAAAAAAAUAGUAGAGAGGUAGUUUGGCUACUGAAUUACUUAUAAAACAGGGGAUCUGGAAAAGAGGCCUUUAUAUAUGUGUUUAUAAAAGGCCAAGCAAGAUUUAACAGCUAAAAGCAGAAAUUUGCUACCUCCACUGGAGGUAUCAUUUCUUAGCAACAAGGGGACUGUACAUUGACAAGUCUUGUUGGAGUGAACUCCUAGAGUGUCACUGUUUGGAAUAUAUCUCCAAGAUACACUUUAUUGAACUUCUGGGGAAAAUUCUGUAACCUGUAUAUCAGGAGGUUAGGCUAGAUGUCCCUAAAGCUACCUGCAGAACCCAGACUUCUGUGAAAGUUGGAAAGCUGCUAGAAAAUCAACUGGGUGCAUUUUUACAGAAUUGGACAUGAUUUCUCUUGACAAGAUUAAUGUGUGAAUUGCCUGUCUCUCACCAAACGAACCUGAAUGUCUCCUGCAUGUCUUUGGUUGCUCUCUGUGAUGUGGUUCAUCUAAAAAUAUCACUCCAGCUCCCACCUCAGGAAGUCAGCAUGAGGAUUUCUGUUCACAGAGAUCACCUCUUCCUACCACAGAAAGUCCGCAGGGUGCUUAGGGUGAUCAUUGCUAACGGCAGCGCAGUGAUCCCGUGUUCAGUCUCGUUCUGUAUCAAUUCUGCAGCACAUUCAUUUCUUUCUCUUUUCAGGGGAAUCAAGAGGGCAUUUCAGUUUACAGGAGGCAGCACAGCUGAUCUGUCUGGCAGCACUUGCCAAAGCCCCGGACUUUCCAGAACACAAAACGCCUGAAGUUAUCCUUCUCGUGGCGCUCUCCAAAAGGCUGUAGCUGUCCAGUGCCCACCGCUAAUCCUGCUUUUAUUUCUCCCAGCUGAGAGCUGGAUCCGGUUUGUGGUUCCAGCAGGAAUAACUGCACAGUGAGGGGCUUCUCCCUGCAGCGGGGAAGGGGGGGAAGGGGCUUUUGCUGCCCCAGGAGCCGCUCACCCCACUCCGCAGCCGGGGAGCGCCGCCUGCUGCGGGUCCCAAACAGAGCCAGAUGGUUUGGGGGCAGGCAGGAGCUACCUGGGGUAUCUUAAUUUAAGCUCACAUCCAGAUCUUUUCAGCUGCACAGCUCGGGACUAGAGCAAAGGUAAUGCUCUCUUUAGCUGUCACUGACAUCCAGGCUGCUACAGGAGGAGAAGCACUGAUAAGGUUAGUACUGUAUGUCUAGGAGACAGAAUUCAGUGCACGUGAGUGCUCUUCUGGUUUGGUUUUUUAAA